CAGCCGCCACGGUAAUACGGAGGAUCCAAGCGUUAUCCGGAAUCAUUGGGUUUAAAGGGUCCGUAGGCGGUCUUGUAAGUCAGUGGUGAAAGCCCAUCGCUCAACGGUGGAACGGCCAUUGAUACUGCAGGACUUGAAUUAUUGGGAAGUAACUAGAAUAUGUAGUGUAGCGGUGAAAUGCUUAGAGAUUACAUGGAAUACCAAUUGCGAAGGCAGGUUACUACCAAUUGAUUGACGCUGAUGGACGAAAGCGUGGGUAGCGAACAGGAUUAGAUACCCGUGUAGUCCCUGUCUCUUAUAC
rnacentral:rRNA from 1 species